GCUCCGCCCAGGCGGGCCCGGGCUCCGCGCGGUCCUAGCGCCCGCCCGUUCCCCCCCGGCCGGGGGCUCAGGGGCCUUCCCCGGCUCGGGCCCGGGGUGACGCCACAGCGGCUGCGCCCGGCCCUGCCCCGUAGCCAGAACUGAAUCACGCCCAGUACCGGGCUAACCCCACACCAAUUUCCUCUCCCAACUCAGCACUGCCACCUAAACCCUGGUCUGGGCACAUGGCUACAGUCAGGGGAGAAGGGCGCCAUCUAGCGAGCACACCUGUGGCCUGCACAAGUUAUUAAACCGUACACAUCUGGAGCAAGAGCUCCUGGAAACACGCUACGCGUCAGAGAUUAACCACGGGUGGCCGUAUGAGAGCAGGCUGGGAAAUGCCAUUAGAACACUGGACACAUCUGGAGUUUGUUGCUGUCCCACCCGGUCUGGCAUGCUGGGUACAUGGCCCAUGGCGUUUGGGAAUGUGAAGACUGCACAAGAUCCACCUCAAGCUGGAGCGAACAGGAGGGAAAUCGGGUGCCUCGGCAGCCUUUCCCUUUCCAGCAUCAUCUCCUGAACGUGUUAUUUUUUCUGGCCAUCCUCCGCUCACCAGGGAUAGCUGAGGGACGGUGCCGCUCUGGAAUAGUCCCAUGGCUGAGCUGUCCUCUUCACCAGGACAGGGCCCAUCUCUCUUCCUCUAUGCACUCCAUGGCGGUGGCCCCGUGGAAAGUGCUCUGGCUUUGGAAGCGAGCUGAGAGUAGGGGGCGCACACGAAAGGGGAGCUGGGGCUGCCCUACAGCAAGAGGUCUUUGCUGAAACCAUUAGCCCAGGAAGGCUGCGGUGGUUCUCUUAGCCCUACGAGCACUGCAAUCCCCUUGGUUAAGGGUUGCCCUGACUCUCGAUCCUGGAUCCGACUGGGGGCAGAAAACAAGGGCUCCUGGCAGCCUUACAGUACCUACCGGAGGGAGAGGAAGGGCAGCUCAUCCAAAGCAAAGGGCCAUGAGACAGGCUUACCCGGCACAGCCAGGUACGCUCUGCUUUCGUCAGCACCGGCUUGGAACCGAUCGAGAGCCAUUCCCCACAGCGAGCCCUGGAUUCUAACUCCCCAGGUGAGCCGCACCAUUCUGAGGGCUAGAGAGAGCCAAUGAGGAGGUGCAGUGAUCUGAUCUGCAGCCCCUUCGUGUGAAUAGAGCUUCCAAAGGCAGCAGAGGGGGACGGCACUAGGCAAAUGCCAAGAAAACAGACACCUUUGAACAACAAACAGGACUUUCUGGUGGUAACCGAGCGCCGAUUCUUCCCACCUCUGCAGAGGACAGCACCAGGGAAAGGAGGCCUCGCUCUCCUGGCGGAACACAAGCUAGAGAGGAAUGUCCCCAGUCAGGUCACCGCGCAGCUCCCAGCGCUACAGGGGACACCGUUCCUCAGCCUCUCCAGAGCCCCAGUACCCAGUGGGGACAGGAAAUGAUCUUUCAUCCUGCAGUCGUAGCAGCCAGACACCA